rnacentral:tRNA from 1 species
UUCCGGUUAGCUCAGUUGGUAAAGCAUCAGACUUUUAAUCUGAGGGCCAUGGGUUCGAGUCCCAUAUCGGGCU